GGCGGGGUAGCUCAGCCGGUUAGAGCAGCGGAAUCAUAAUCCGCGUGUCGGGGGUUCGAGUCCCUCUCCCGCUACCA
rnacentral:tRNA from 2 species